CUCGCUUUUAUUUUGCCUCGUAGCAAAUAUCGGGGUCUUAGAUCGUAAUUUCUGCUCUUGUCCAACAGCGAUCUUUCUCGCAACUAUCUCAAUGGAUCGAUCCCUGCAGCAUGGGCUUCCCUUCCUCUCACCGAUUUGUCGCUUUUGGGAAAUCACAUUUCUAGAACAAUUCCAAAGGAGCUAGGAAACAUCAUGACACUCAAGUCACUAGUCAUUGAAGUUAACGAGGUCGAAGGACCUCUUCCUCCGGAGCUUGGUAAUUUGCGCCGCUUGGAG